rnacentral:tRNA from 3 species
GACUCAGUAGCUCAGUUGGUAGAGCAUCGCCCUUUUAAGGCGAGGGCCCUGGGUUCGAGACCCAGCUGAGUCA